UACAGAGGGGGCAAGCGUUGUUCGGAAUUACUGGGCGUAAAGGGCGCGUAGGCGGCCUUCUAAGUCAGACGUGAAAUCCCUCGGCUCAACCGGGGAACUGCGUCUGAGACUGGAAGGCUUGAAUUCGGGAGAGGGAUGUGGAAUUCCAGGUGUAGCGGUGAAAUGCGUAGAUAUCUGGAGGAGCACCGGUGGCGAAGGCGGCAUCCUGGACCGAUAUUGACGCUGAUGCGCGAAAGCCAGGGGAGCAAACGGG
rnacentral:rRNA from 1 species